UACGUAGGGGGCGAGCGUUGUCCGGAAUUACUGGGCGUAAAGGGUGCGUAGGCGGAACCGCAAGUCAGAUGUGAAAUACCCGGGCUUAACCCGGGGGCUGCAUUUGAAACUGCGGUCCUUGAGUGCAGGAGAGGCAAGUGGAAUUCCUAGUGUAGCGGUGAAAUGCGUAGAUAUUAGGAGGAACACCAGUGGCGAAGGCGACUUGCUGGACUGUAACUGACGCUGAGGCACGAAAGCGUGGGGAGCAGAC
rnacentral:rRNA from 1 species